rnacentral:rRNA from 1 species
UCGGGAAUAUUGCGCAAUGGAGGAAACUCUGACGCAGUGACGCCGCGUGCAGGAAGAAGGUUUUCGGAUUGUAAACUGCUUUAGACAGGGAAGAAAAAAUGACAGUACCUGUAGAAUAAGCUCCGGCUAACUACGUGCCAGCAGCCGCGGUAAUACGUAGGGAGCAAGCGUUAUCCGGAUUUAUUGGGUGUAAAGGGUGCGUAGACGGGAAGACAAGUUAGUUGUGAAAUCCCUCGGCUUAACUGAGGAACUGCAACUAAAACUAUCAUUCUUGAGUGCUAGAGAGGAAAGUGGAAUUCCUAGUGUAGCGGUGAAAUGCGUAGAUAUUAGGAGGAACACCAGUGGCGAAGGCGGCUUACUGGACGGUAACUGACGUUGAGGCUCGAAAGCGUGGGGAGCAAACAGGAUUAGAUACCC